GCUAUCUGAGAAUAUCUCUAAAUUGCACAUGACAUAUAAAAUUAGAAAGAGAACUCUAUUCCGAAUUUUUUCGUAAUAAAUUAUAGAUAAAAGUCCUACUGUUUACAAUAGCGACCUUUCCAAGGUUUCCGAUUAUUGUGUUUCUUAGCCACGAACAUCCUGCGACGUGACGAGGUCUUGCGGUUUUACGGACAAACACAUUUCUACCGACCACUCGCGACGGACAACGGACGUGAUAGCAAUCAAACCUGAUAAGACCUGAUAAAACCUGCUUGGUAGGAGUUCGAUAAUCGUACGGAUGAUAUCAGACUUUAUUAGAAAUUGGCCCUAUUUGCAGUCGUUUUUCAAACGCGAUCCGAGUGAGUGGUAUCUCCCUUCGUGAAAUCUUCGACGACGCAAGAAUAUCCAGCUCCCAGUAAUCUCUCAGGUUCUAAAUCUCUCUUUCACGCGCAAUAUGGAACCCUCGGCGACCGGCAAUGACAAAGCCGAGGCGCAACAGAUCAAAUCUUUUCGACUUUGUAAAUAUGUGAAGAAGGAAGACUAUUAUAAUGC